GAUGAACGCUGGCGGCGUGCCUAAUACAUGCAAGUCGAGCGAACAGACGAGGAGCUUGCUCCUCUGACGUUAGCGGCGGACGGGUGAGUAACACGUGGAUAACCUACCUAUAAGACUGGGAUAACUUCGGGAAACCGGAGCUAAUACCGGAUAAUAUAUUGAACCGCAUGGUUCAAUAGUGAAAGACGGUUUUGCUGUCACUUAUAGAUGGAUCCGCGCCGCAUUAGCUAGUUGGUAAGGUAACGGCUUACCAAGGCAACGAUGCGUAGCCGACCUGAGAGGGUGAUCGGCCACACUGGAACUGAGACACGGUCCAGACUCCUACGGGAGGCAGCAGUAGGGAAUCUUCCGCAAUGGGCGAAAGCCUGACGGAGCAACGCCGCGUGAGUGAUGAAGGUCUUCGGAUCGUAAAACUCUGUUAUUAGGGAAGAACAAAUGUGUAAGUAACUAUGCACGUCUGGACGGUACCUAAGCAGAAAACCACGGCUAACUACGU
rnacentral:rRNA from 1 species